rnacentral:rRNA from 1 species
AUAAAAAAUUUAUAUAAAAUAAAAUAAUUAGUAUGAAUAAGCUAACAUAUUUUACAAUAUUUACACUUUUCACCUAUUUUGUUAUCUUCUUAAACAAUUUUUUGAAAAAAUUUUAAGAUUGGUUUCUUGCUUAGAUGCUUUCAGCAAUUAUCCUUUAUAAAUUUAGCUACUCGGCGAUGCUCCUUUAGAACAACCGAUACACCAGUGAUUUACCCUUUUCGGUCCUCUCGUACUAGAAUUAGAGUCUUGCAUUUUUCUUUUUAUCUAUAGAAGAUAGGAUCCAAACUGUCUCACGACGUUCUAAACCCAACUCACGUACCACUUUAAUCGGCGAACAGCCGAACCCUUGGAACCUUCUUCAGCUCCAGGAUGUGAUGAGUCGACAUCGAGGUGCCAAACGACUCCGUCGAUAGGAGCUCUUAGGAGUCAUCAGCCUGUUAUCCCCGGAGUACCUUUUAUCCGUUGAGCGAUAAUCUUUCCACUAAGAAUUAUCGGAUCACUAUGACCGACUUUCGUCCCUGUUUGAUAUGUCUAUCUUACAGUCAAGCAAGCUUAUACCAUUACAUUCUACAAUUGAUGUUUUGCCAAUUUGAGCUUACCUUUGUACACCUCCGUUACUCUUUGGGAGGUGACCGCCCCAGUCAAACUACCAACCAUACAUGGUUUAUUCUUUUUUAAAGAAUAUUAGUUAUUUAUAAUAAUAAGAGUGGUAUUUCAAAGAAAUCUAAACAAUUCCCUAGCAGGAAGGUCUAAGAUUACCACUUAUUCUACACAUAUUUUAUAAAAUAACAAUAUAAAGAUGUAGUAAAGGUUCACGGGGUCUUUCCGUCUAACUAUAGAAAAUCCGCAUCUUCACGGAUAAUUCAAAUUCACUGAGUUUAUGUUGGAGACAGCGGGGAUGUCGUUACACCAUUCAUGCAGGUCGGAACUUACCCGACAAGGAAUUUCGCUACCUUAGGACCGUCAGAGUUACGGCCGCCGUUUACUGGGACUUUCAUUCAAAGCGCAAACUUUUCCUAUUAAUCUUCCAGCACCGGGCAGGUGUCAGACCCUAUACGUCAUUUUACAAUUUAGCAGAGUCCUGUGUUUUUAUUAAACAGUCGCAACCCCCAAUUUUGUGCCACCUUUUAUAUUUGAUAAUAUAAAAGGUACUCUUUCUCCCGAAGUUACAGAGUCAUUUUGCCGAGUUCCUUCAACAUAAUUAUCUCAUACACCUUGGUCUACUCGACCUAUUCACCUGUGUCGGUUUAGGGUACGGUUUUUUAAUAUAAUACAUUAUUAUUAUAAUUAUUAUAAUUAUUUAAAAAAAAGUUAUUUCUUGAAAAUAUUAUUAAUUUUGUCACUUUUUAUUAGAAAUUGAAUUUUACAAUUUUCCCAUCAUAGUAAGCUUUCGCUUAUUUCUACUUAGGGGCCGUCUAACUCUAUGUAGUUAAUCUUAACAUAGAAACCCUUGAAUUUUCGGUGAUAAUGAUUUUUGUCAUUAUUUUUUGUUACUAAUGCCAGCAUUUUCAAUUCUGAUAUUUUCAAUAUAUUUAACAACAUAUUUUUAACAACAUACAGAAUGUUCCGCUACCGUUAAAAUAUUUUAUAUUUUAACUUGACGCUUCGGUAAAUUUCUUUAGUCCCGAUACAUUUUAGGCGCAAAAAAACUAGACCAAUGAGCUAUUACGCUUUCUUUAAAGGAUGGCUGCUUCCAAGCCUACCUAUUGGUUGUUAUUAUUUUUUCACUUCCUUUAUCACUUAGAAAAUUAUUUAAGGACCUUAGCUUUCAAUCUGGGCUGUUUCCCUUUCGACAAUGGACCUUAGCGCCCAAUGUCUGUCUAUUUAAAUACUUAUUUUUGUAUUCGGAGUUUCUAAAAGUUCAGUAAGAUUUUAAUCCCCCUAGCUUAAUGAGUGCUCUACCCCAAAAAAAGAUUUUUAAAUGCUCUACUUCAAUAGAUUUCGCGGAAAACCAGCUAUCUCUGAGUUUGAUUGGCCUUUCACCCCUAAUCACAAAUCAUCCCCGUAUAUUGCCACAUACGUGAGUUCGAUCCUCCAAAUAGUUUUACCUAUUCUUCAAUCUGUUCAUAAUUAGAUCACUCAGUUUCGGGUCUUAUUUUUAUAACUUUUUAUAAGCUUUUUAAAACUUGAUUUCUCUACGCCUAUUUUUUUUAUAAAUUAAGCUUGCUAAAAAAAUAAACUUGCUGGCCCAUUAUGCAAAAGGUACACUGUUACUUUAUUAAAAAGCUUCAAUUGAUUAUUAGCAUAGAGUUUCAGAAUUAUUUCAAACUCGAAAGCUUUAUUUCACCUUUCCUUUACAGUACUUGUUCACUAUCGGUCAUUAAUUAUUUUAUAGAUUUUGAGGGUGGUCCCCCAAUAUUCAAAAAAGAUUACACAUACCUUUUUUUACUUAUAAAAAAUAAAAUAUAUAAAUAAAUAACUUACAGGACUAUCACCUUUUUACGUAAAUGUUUUAACAUUUUUCAGAUAUUUAUAAAUAUUUUUAUAUAAUUUUUUUAUAAUCUAUUUUCCAUUUUCACUCGUCAUUACUUACGGAAUCUCGUUUGAUUUUUUCAAUAGUUACUAAGAUAUUUCAAUUCACUACGUUUAAAAUUUUCACAAAGAAAAAGUUUUCUUUAGGAAAUCUAUAUAUUAAAAUAUAUAAAUAUUACAUAUAGCUUUUCGUUUUUAUUACGUCCUAAAAAUAUUAAUUAAUGCCUAGGCAUCCCCUCUAUGCUUUUUUUAUGUAACUU